rnacentral:rRNA from 1 species
AUGGCCGACGACGGUGCCGCACACGGCUUCGAGUUCCACGAGGCCACCGUGGACACCAUCCAGCUCGGCUUCAGCAACGGGACUCUGACCUCGACGGCGCUCGUCCAGUUCUACCUGGACCAGAUCGACCGCCUCAACCCGCUGCUGCACGCCGUCAUCGAGGUCAACCCAGACGCGCUCCCCCAGGCCAAGCAUGCCGACGCCGAGCGCCACGGCGGCACGGCCACAGGCGCACUGCACGGGGUCCCUAUCCUGCUCAAGGACAACAUCGCCACCCGCGACGCGCUCAGCACCACGGCGGGGUCGCUGGCUCUCCUCGGCUCCAUGGUGAAGCGUGACGCCGGUGUGGUGGCUCGGCUCCGGCGCGCAGGCGCCGUGGUGCUCGGCAAGGCCAGCCUGUCCGAGUGGGCUAAUUUCCGCCCAGUCGACAACGGGUGGAGCGCCCGGGGCGGUCAGGCGCGGAACCCGUACGUCCUGUCGUCCACCCCGUGUGGCUCGAGUGCCGGCUCAGGCGUGGCCGCGGCCGCGAACAUGGCGGCCGUGACGCUGGGCACCGAGACCGACGGCUCCAUACUCUGCCCGUCGUCGUUCAACUCUGUGGUCGGCAUCAAGCCCACCCUCGGUCUCACCAGCCGCGCCGGCGUCGUCCCCAUCACCCCGUUGCAAGACACCGUUGGCCCGAUGUGCCGGACGGUGUCGGACGCGGUGCACGUGCUGGACACCAUCGUCGGAUAUGACGAGCACGACGCCGCAGCCACCGGAGCGGCAUCAAAGUACAUCCCCCAAGGCGGAUAUGCGGAGUUCCUGAAGAAAGAUGGGCUGAGGGGAAAGAGGAUCGGCGUCCCCAAUGGCUUCGUCCAGAGAUAUGGGCAGAAGCAGCUGAAUGUGUACAAGCAGCACCUCGCCACAAUGAGGGAACUCGGAGCAGUGGUGAUUGAGAAGCUGGACGUCGCUGCCAAUUUGAGCGCUCUAUUGGGUGAGAUUGGUUCCAACGAGGCGAUUGCGAUGCAGGCAGAGUUCAAGCUGAGCAUAAACGCCUACUUGGCAGACUUGGUCCACUCCCCGGUCCAUUCGCUUGCAGACAUCAUAGCAUUCAACAAGGCGCAUCCUGUGGAGGAGAGGCUGAAAGAUUUCGGGCAGCCCGACCUAAUCGCUGCCGAAAGCACAAAUGGCAUUGGCCCCGCGGAGAGAGCCGCGAUCCGGCGUCUGAAGGAGCUGAACGCGAAUGGGCUGGAGAAGAUGAUGAAGGAGCACCAGCUGGACGCGAUCGUGGCGCCUAACAACGCUAUAUCUAGCCUUCUUGCCAUCGGUGGCCACCCUGGCAUCGUUGUGCCGGCUGGUUACGACGAGAAGGGGGUCCCCUUCGGGAUAUGUUUCGGUGGGCUGCAGGGGUACGAGCCGAGGCUGAUCGAGAUGGCCUAUGCUUUCGAGCAGGCUACCAAAGUUAGGAGGCAACCCAUGUUCAAGACCUAG